rnacentral:rRNA from 1 species
CAGUCGCCGCGGGAAUACGAAGGGUGCAAGCGUUAAUCGGAAUUACUGGGCGUAAAGCGUGCGUAGGCGGUUUGUUAAGUCUGCUGUGAAAUCCCCGGGCUCAACCUGGGAAUGGCAGUGGAUACUGGCAAGCUAGAGUGUGUCAGAGGAUGGUGGAAUUCCCGGUGUAGCGGUGAAAUGCGUAGAGAUCGGGAGGAACAUCAGUGGCGAAGGCGGCCAUCUGGGACAACACUGACGCUGAGGCACGAAAGCGUGGGGAGCAAACAGGAUUAGAUACCCCCGUAGUCCCUGUCUCUUAUAU